AGGGUUUGAUCCUGGCUCAGAACGUACGCUGGCGGCACGCCUAACACAUGCAAGUCGAACGAAGUAGCAAUACUUAGUGGCAGACGGGUGAGUAACAUGUAGGUAUCUGCCCUUUGGCCUGGAAUAACACGAGGAAACUUGUGCUAAUACUGGAUAAGUCUUUACGGAGAAAGCUUUAUGCACCAUUGGAUGAGCCUGCACUUGAUUAGUUUGUUGGUGGGGUAAUGGCCUACCAAGACUGUGAUCAAUAGCUGAUUUGAGAGGAUGAUCAGCCACAUUGGGACUGAGACACGGCCCAAACUCCUACGGGAGGCAGCAGUGGGGAAUCUUGCACAAUGGAGGAAACUCUGAUGCAGCGAUGCCGCGUGAGUGAAGAAGGCCUUUGGGUUGUAAAGCUCUUUCGUCGGGGAAGAAAAUGACUGUACCCGAAUAAGAAGGUCCGGCUAACUUCGUGCCAGCAGCCGCGGUAAUACGAAGGGACCUAGCGUAGUUCGGAAUUACUGGGCUUAAAGAGUUCGUAGGUGGUUGAAAAAGUUGGUGGUGAAAUCCCAGAGCUUAACUCUGGAACUGCCAUCAAAACUUUUCAGCUAGAGUAUGAUAGAGGAAAGCAGAAUUUCUAGUGUAGAGGUGAAAUUCGUAGAUAUUAGAAAGAAUACCAAUUGCGAAGGCAGCUUUCUGGAUCAUUACUGACACUGAGGAACGAAAGCAUGGGUAGCGAAGAGGAUUAGAUACCCUCGUAGUCCAUGCCGUAAACGAUGUGUGUUAGACGUUGGAAAUUUAUUUUCAGUGUCGCAGCGAAAGCGAUAAACACACCGCCUGGGGAGUACGACCGCAAGGUUAAAACUCAAAUGAAUUGACGGGGACCCGCACAAGUAGUGGAGCAUGUGGUUUAAUUCGAAGAUACGCGCAGAACCUUACCAACACUUGACAUGUUCGUCGCGACUCUAAGAGAUUAGAGUUUUCGGUUCGGCCGGACGAAACACAGGUGCUGCAUGGCUGUCGUCAGCUCGUGUCGUGAGAUGUUGGGUUAAGUCCCGCAACGAGCGCAACCCUCACUUUUAGUUGCCAUCAUUUAGUUGGGCACUCUGAAAGAACUGCCAGUGAUAAGCUGGAGGAAGGUGGGGAUGACGUCAAGUCCUCAUGGCCCUUACGUGUUGGGCUACACACGUGCUACAAUGGUAUCUACAACAGGAAGCAAGACGGCGACGUUAAGCAAAUCCUUAAAAGAUACCUCAGUUCGGAUUGCACUCUGCAACUCGAGUGCAUGAAGCUGGAAUUACUAGUAAUCGUGGAUCAGCGUGCCACGGUGAAUGCGUUCCCGGGUCUUGUACACACCGCCCGUCACACCAUGGGAGUUGGUUCUACCUUAAGGCAAGGUUUAAAACCCUUGACCACGGUAUAGUCAGCGACUGGGGUGAAGUCGUAACAAGGUAACCGUA
rnacentral:rRNA from 1 species